UGAAGAGGUUGUGAUACCUCGAAACUCGCAGUGAU
rnacentral:guide_RNA from 1 species